rnacentral:ncRNA from 1 species
GGUACCGAACACGGGAGUCCGGUGCACCGGGCUGAGAGGAGGGCGACGAGCCCUCGACCGUCGAACCUGAUCCGGGUCAUGCCGGCGCAGGGAGGCCUCUUGCGGAGCGC